GCAUCUCUGGGGGGCUCCUUGCUGCGAGGAUAGGAGGAAGGGGCCUCGCUUGGCCUCAUCCAGUAGCCAAGCUUUUCCUAAGUCCUUAUGGAGCCUCCCGGUCCAGGGGCGGCCUUUCUGCACCCCCAGGUUCUUAGAAUCAUUUGCACUGUAUGCAGAUCAGCUUGUUAUAUGAAGUCUGAAGCCUGCAAAGCUUAUCAUGCGGAAGCGUGCAUGCGUGUAUGUUGGGCACGGGUGUGACUGGGGGUGUACCGAGAAAUCGUUUGAAAUGUUUGCAGGGAUAUUGGAAAACCGCUACAAUGAGUUGUAUGGAAACUCAGCUAGGGGGACUCGAGGAAGUCAUCCAGUAAUGAUAAUUAAAUUGGAAUUUUAACAGUUAGGAUAUAUGUUUGUUCGUUUGUCUUUUUUAGAUUGUAAUGUUUUUCUUUUAUGUUUGUUAUAAAUUUGGAAAAUUAAUUUAAAAAAUUGGGGGCGUGAUGAAAUGUUUGCAGGGAUCGUAACAGUUUUCCACAGGAGAGCCGAGGCAAAGAUCAGUUUUGCAAAUACGGUUUUGCAGAGAUGUCACCGCACAAAACAGUUACAAUCCCUGCAAAACCGUCUCUGCCUCAGCUCUCUCCCCCUCCCCCUGCAGCCACAGCCAAUUGCCCAACAGCCUGCAAAGCAGCAAGCUCCUCAGACGCUGCAAAAAACACCAACGGGGUUAUUUACUUCAGAGUAGUGGAGGGGGGGGGAUCUUGCCCUGCCCCACUUCUGUGCAUGUGUUGCGCAUGUUAAGGUGGGUAAGAUGCUGCCUAGCUGCCUCUCAGACAUGAAAUUCUUGCUCAAGAGUAAAAGAGCAGAUUGCUAUGCCCUUAAAGCCAAACCGUACCUCUUUUCUGCCUUCCCUUCCCUUUCCCAGACAUGAGGCUAUUGCUUUUGUGUCCUAAUAGGGGUAAAUGGAAGGGAAGAGAUUUAACUGGCUGCUUUAUGCUCUCCGAUGGGAGAUGGCUGCAUGGCCCAUCCAUCACAGCUGCUUGAGUUGAGGUUCCUUCAUUGCAGGGGUUGGACUAGAUGACCCUCAGAGGUCCCUUCCAACUCUGAUUCUGUGUCCCAAAGGUGAUGCAAGCAUUCUCUGAGCUGUGUACUGCCAGGGAAGCUUCAGUUUCCCGUGUGCUCUGAAAUGGCUCAGUCCUUGCUUUUAUGUGCUGUAUUGCUCUUUAAAAAAAGAAAGAAUUAUGGGUUCUUUGACUAUGAAAACCUAUAUACGGAUAAUCAAGUUUCUUUUAGUUUGUCCUAGAUUUCCAAAGCCCUAUAAGCUGCUCAAAUUGUUAGGCAAUUUGGCAUCUUUUAUUUUCAGACCCCCUCACUGAUCAACUAAAUUACAUGGUUUCUUUUCAUCUUUUAAAUAUAUGGGACACGCCUAACAGUAGUUUUAAAGAUGAAAAGGAUUCAAAUAAAACUUCCCCCAAAAUGCAAGUGGGAGCAAUUGGUAAACAAAACAAAACAAAAGCAAAUACACCUCAAGGCUGCAAUCCUAAAUAGUUAUUAAGGAAUUGGCCCCAUUUGAACACAGCGGUACUUCAGAGUGAAAAACUUAAACCCAAUGAGUAACCUAGGAUUGAGUUUCAUGUAGCUCUAGAAUGAUCUGCUUCACUCAAAUUUUUCAGUGCAACUAAUGGGAAUAUUUGUUUAGCUAUUUUUAAAAGUGCUGACUGUGUUUGACGGACACAUCUAUCUUUAGGCAAGAAGAGGAAAAUAGAGGAAAUGGAUGUGAAACAAGAAUGUCUUGGUACCGCUGACCUGGUGGUUUAUGGGCUCGCAUGGGAAACGUCCGAGCGCGAACUGGAGGAGUUCUUCAGCAGAUUUGGAGCAGUUCUCAAGAGUCCAGGUGAUGACUGAUUGCAGAUCCAGCCAGUCGAAGCGGAUCGGACUGGUGAGAUUUGCAGACUACGAAGCACAGAUGAAAGUCAUGGUAGAGAGGCUUGGAGCGCCACAUUCGAUCCCAACUUCUGAAAUAGAACCUCAAGGAAGCUUCCUUGCGAUUUAAGCCGAAGUGUCAUGUUAAUCUCUCACGGUGUUUGCUCAGAAGCACAGAUGAAUCCAGAGAUGGUUGUUCUUUUUCUCUCCAUUUCUCCAAAAAAGGAGUGUCUUCUAAGCUUGACGUAAGUUCUGUUCCCGGUGGCUUUACUGCACAGGCACACGGAAAUGUGUGAAGUGUUCAUAGCAGAAGGGCUUCUGUGCAAGAGAGCAGAUAUGUGUGUACACAACUCUGCAUGCAGUAUGUUGGUUAUUAAAACAGCUAGACAAAAACAUUUGUAUUAAUUAAAAUCUAAGGACUGCUGCUGCUGCACUUCCCAGCAAGGACCACCCUGCUGAGAGUCUGAGGGGCCUGAUCCUGCCUCUCUCCACCUGGCCCAGGGCGGGGCCUGACAGGCUUCAUAAGGACUGCUGCUGCCCAGCAAGAGGCCAACUUCAGAGGAAUUUUCAAAUCCGAGGAAGCUGUGUGUUCGGGGUUGCACCAAAGACAUGAAUGCAAAUGAUACUUGUGAGCUUAUUUGCCGGUUUGGAGAAGUCACUGAUGUCUUCAUUGAAUAACCCUUCGGAGGCUUUGCCUUUGUUGCAUUUGCUGAUGAUCAGAGCCAGGAAGCAGCAAUGCCAUGAUGAGGAGAACUCCUGUCACCCUCGCGCAACAUAGAGGGCGUUACAUCUACCACAGCUCCCAAGCAGUGUUAGAAACUGGGAAAGAAAAGCACAUGAGAAGCACAUGCUUUUAUGCAACUGUUUGAAUGUUUCGUUAUUGUUGUAAGUCUGUUUUGAAGAAAGUUCUGUUAGUAAAGUUCCUUUUUCUGGAACCAUA